AGUAGGAUAGCUGGGUCAAAUGGUGUUCCCAUUCCAACUUUUCUGAGGAAUCUCCAUACUGCUUUCCAUAAUGGUUGAACUAAUUUGCAGUCCCACUGGCAAU
rnacentral:pre_miRNA from 1 species